GGCCCCGUAGUUCAAUGGAUAGAACGAGCGUUUCCUAAACGCUAAAUCCCAGUUCGAUUCUGGGCGGGGCUA
rnacentral:tRNA from 1 species